UUGCGCAAAGGGCUAAGACUCCGAGGAAGAAAUUCAGUGCAUUGGAAGCAGAACGAGUCGCAGAAAUAUGAUGCUUCUAUUUUCGGCGGAAGACAUUUCUUUACGGAACAAUAAAUCCUGCUAUUAGUAGACGGCUGUGGUAAUUGAUAACAAAGGCUGUUGGUGAGCAACAAAAAAAUUUCAAAAAAGCGAGAACAAAUUCUUGGAUGGUUUUGCUUCACAGGACACCUUUGUGCUUUCUUCCAUAGUUCCAUGGAUGAAAAUUCCAUUUAAAAUGAGCCAUAUUUGUAUUUGUUAGUGAUGAUCCGGGAAUCUUCGGUUUUCAUGUUUGCCAUAGGACUCUGUACUUGGGAGUGGCAUUAUCCGAAGAUAACACAACAUAUCUCUUUCGGUCGCUUGUAUAUCAUGUCCCCUGAUUUUGAACGGCGCAAGUUGCAGCGCAACGGUAAUCUGGGCACCCUCCCCAUUGGCAAUUGAUUGUCAAGAUACCUUGGUUUUCAGUUCCAUCCAGCAAAAUUUAAUUAGUGGUAAGAAAUAAUUGAUCAUUCAGCACUUAAGCAACCAUUUAUUAUUAUUCAGAUAAUGGCGGUUGGUGCUUGCGCCAUGACGGUCAUCUGGUGGUGCAAUCGAGAACUAUCAAACAUUGAAUGAACUCGUUGACAUGUCAUUUCUCAAGUCUGCGUAAAGAGUCAAAGACGUAGCGACACUCAGUAUCCAUUGCAAAUUUUACGUUUUUGCUGGAUGGCGAAGCUUUUCGUGGUAUCGGUAUUCUGUUAUUUUCGUUUCAAAUUAUACCUCAGCCUAAACAGAAUAUUGACUAAGAUCUAAAUCAGAUUUAUUUGCGGGCACAGUCAGUUUUAAGGCUAAUAAUAUUUGCACUUCAUUGAAUUGUGUUUUGUUCAGCAUCGUCAUCAUUUUUGUUUAUUUAUAUGCCAACCAUUCCUUUUUUAAAUUCGUACUGCAGAAAACCAUGACAAAAUGGCCGUCGUAUACUGGAGACAUCUAACAGAAAAGUUACGAACUCGUGAUUUGAUGGAAGUGUCAGCUGUUCUCUUACUCCUAGCGUUGCUCAGGAUCACAAUUACAAUGGACGUGUACUUGGUUGAAAUUUACCUGCUGACCUGUAUUUCGGCGUGUGGACGUAACGUUCGUUUUCUCUUUUCCACCUAAUUGGUACCGGAAAGAGAUGUCCCUUUUUGCGUUUGCAAGGAUAUUCUUCAGUGAAAAUGAGUAAUGCCAGUAGAAACUCUUCAUUUCUUCACAAAAAAGUUUGGCUUAAGACAAAAAUAAGACUUCAUUGG